UACGUAGGGUGCGAGCGUUGUCCGGAAUUACUGGGCGUAAAGGGCUCGUAGGCGGCCAACUAAGUCGGACGUGAAAUCCCCAGGCUCAACCUGGGAACUGCGUCCGAUACUGGAUGGCUUGAAUUCGGGAGAGGGAUGCAGAAUUCCAGGUGUAGCGGUGAAAUGCGUAGAUAUCUGGAGGAAUACCGGUGGCGAAGGCGGCAUCCUGGACCGACAUUGACGCUGAGGAGCGAAAGCUAGGGGAGCAAACGGG
rnacentral:rRNA from 1 species